UACAGAGGGUGCGAGCGUUAAUCGGAAUUACUGGGCGUAAAGCGCACGUAGGCGGCUUGGUAUGUCGGGUGUGAAAUCCCCGGGCUCAACCUGGGAACUGCAUCCGAAACUGCCUUGCUCGAGUAUGGGGAGAGGGAAGUGGAAUUUCCGGUGUAGCGGUGAAAUGCGUAGAUAUCGGAAGGAACAUCAGUGGCGAAGGCGACUUCCUGGACCAAUACUGACGCUCAGGUGCGAAAGCGUGGGGAGCAAACAGGG
rnacentral:rRNA from 1 species